GACGAACGCUGGCGGCGUGCCUAAUACAUGCAAGUAGAACGCUGAAGAGAGGAGCUUGCUCUUCUUGGAUGAGUUGCGAACGGGUGAGUAACGCGUAGGUAACCUGCCUUGUAGCGGGGGAUAACUAUUGGAAACGAUAGCUAAUACCGCAUAACAAUGGAUGACACAUGUCAUUUAUUUGAAAGGGGCAAUUGCUCCACUACAAGAUGGACCUGCGUUGUAUUAGCUAGUAGGUGAGGUAAUGGCUCACCUAGGCGACGAUACAUAGCCGACCUGAGAGGGUGAUCGGCCACACUGGGACGGAGACACGGCCCAGACUCCUACGGGAGGCAGCAGGAGGGAAUCUUCGGCAAUGGGGGCAACCCUGACCGAGCAACGCCGGGGGAGGGAAGAAGGUUUUCGGGUCGGAAAGCUCUGUUGUAAGUCAAGAACGGGUGUGAGAGUGGAAAGUUCACACUGUGACGGUAGCUUACCAGAAAGGGACGGCUAACUACGUG
rnacentral:rRNA from 1 species